rnacentral:rRNA from 1 species
UACGUAGGGAGCAAGCGUUGUCCGGAAUCAUUGGGCGUAAAGCGCGCGUAGGCGGCUCAGUAAGUCUGUUGUGAAAGCCCAGGGCUCAACCCUGGAACGCCGAUGGAUACUGCUGAGCUCGAGUCCGGAAGAGGCGAGUGGAAUUCCUGGUGUAGCGGUGAAAUGCGCAGAUAUCAGGAGGAACACCAAUGGCGAAGGCAGCUCGCUGGGACGGUACUGACGCUAAGGCGCGAAAGCGUGGGGAGCAAACAGG